rnacentral:misc_RNA from 1 species
GUAUUUCAUUGCGUUAAACGCGACAUACAUUCCAUGAGACUUUGUUGUAGUGUGUGUGUAAAGACGCAGAACCACAGCAGGGGGACAGAGCCCACCCAGGCCAUAGAACUACAGAGGGUGCACAGGUGUGAGUGGAUGUGUAAACAGAGUGUGCACAUGCCCCCAUUUGAGGGCCAGCAACAACUCGUGUUGACAGUUCAGUAAUGAUCCUUCCGCAGGUUCACCUACGGAAA